rnacentral:rRNA from 1 species
GAUGAACGCUAGCUACAGGCUUACACAUGCAAGUCGAGGGGCAGCAUGGUCUUAGCUUGCUAAGGCCGAUGGCGACCGGCGCACGGGUGAGUAACACGUAUCCAACCUGCCGUCUACUCUUGGACAGCCUUCUGAAAGGAAGAUUAAUACAAGAUGGCAUCAUGAGUCCGCAUGUUCACAUGAUUAAAGGUAUUCCGGUAGACGAUGGGGAUGCGUUCCAUUAGAUAGUAGGCGGGGUAACGGCCCACCUAGUCUUCGAUGGAUAGGGGUUCUGAGAGGAAGGUCCCCCACAUUGGAACUGAGACACGGUCCAAACUCCUACGGGAGGCAGCAGUGAGGAAUAUUGGUCAAUGGGCGAGAGCCUGAACCAGCCAAGUAGCGUGAAGGAUGACUGCCCUAUGGGUUGUAAACUUCUUUUAUACGGGAAUAAAGUGAGGCACGUGUGCCUUUUUGUAUGUACCGUAUGAAUAAGGAUCGGCUAACUCCGUGCCAGCAGCCGCGGUAAUACGGAGGAUCCGAGCGUUAUCCGGAUUUAUUGGGUUUAAAGGGAGCGUAGGCGGACGCUUAAGUCAGUUGUGAAAGUUUGCGGCUCAACCGUAAAAUUGCAGUUGAUACUGGGUGUCUUGAGUACAGUAGAGGCAGGCGGAAUUCGUGGUGUAGCGGUGAAAUGCUUAGAUAUCACGAAGAACUCCGAUUGCGAAGGCAGCUUGCUGGACUGUAACUGACGCUGAUGCUCGAAAGUGUG